UGUCAUUGCUGCUUUUUUAAGGUGGAUGUUGAGCUGAGGACAGAUUGUUGCCUUUUUUCUUUCUAAUGUACAGAAAAAUGCUAAUGAUACAGUUGUGAAAUGUGAAGUUGUUAAUCUAGUAAAUAAAAAGUUAAUCCAUUUUGGACUGUCUUGUGUUAUGUAUUGUUUUCUUCUUGGGAGAG